rnacentral:rRNA from 1 species
AUGGCUGUUCGCCAUUUAAAGUGGUACGCGAGCUGGGUUUAGAACGUCGUGAGACAGUUCGGUCCCUAUCUGCCGUGGGCGCUGGAGAAUUGAGGGGGGCUGCUCCUAGUACGAGAGGACCGGAGUGGACGCAUCACUGGUGUUCGGGUUGUCAUGCCAAUGGCACUGCCCGGUAGCUAAAUGCGGAAGAGAUAAGUGCUGAAAGCAUCUAAGCACGAAACUUGCCCCGAGAUGAGUUCUCCCUGAGACUUUAAGUCUCCUGAAGGAACGUUGAAGACGACGACGUUGAUAGGCCGGGUGUGUAAGCGCAGCGAUGCGUUGAGCUAACCGGUACUAAUGAACCGUGAGGCUUAACCUUACAACGCCGAAG